AUACAUCAGGUUUCAUACCAGUUCAAUACAACAGGUUUCAUACCAGUUCAAUACAACAGGUUUCAUACCAGUUCAAUACAACAGGUUUCAUACCAGUUCAAUACAACAGGUUUCUUACCAGUUCAAUACAACAGGUUUCAUACCAGUUCAAUACAUCAGGUUUCAUACCAGUUCAAUACAACAGGUUUCAUACCAGUUCAAUACAACAGGUUUCAUACCAGUUCAAUACAACAGGUUUCAUACCAGUUCAAUACAACAGGUUUCUUACCAGUUCAAUACAACAGGUUUCAUACCAGUUCAAUACAUCAGGUUUCAUACCAGUUCAAUACAUCAGGUUUCAUACCAGUUCAAUACAUCAGGUUUCAUACCAGUUCAAUACAACAGGUUUCUUACCAGUUCAAUACAACAGGUUUCAUACCAGUUCAAUACAUCAGGUUUCUUACCAGUUCAAUACAUCAGGUUUCAUACCAGUUCAAUACAACAGGUUUCAUACCAGUUCAAUACAACAGGUUUCAUACCAGUUCAGUACAACAGGUUUCAUACCAGUUCAAUACAUCAGGUUUCAUACCAGUUCAAUACAUCAGGUUUCAUACCAGUUCAAUACAUCAGGUUUCAUACCAGUUCAAUACAACAGGUUUCAUACCAGUUCAAUACAUCAGGUUUCAUACCAGUUCAAUACAUCAGGUUUCAUACCAGUUCAAUACAACAGGUUUCAUACCAGUUCAAUACAUCAGGUUUCAUACCAGUUCAAUACAACAGGUUUCAUACCAGUUCAAUACAUCAGGUUUCAUACCAGUUCAAUACAUCAGGUUUCAUACCAGUUCAAUACAACAGGUUUCAUACCAGUUCAAUACAACAGGUUUCAUACCAGUUCAAUACAACAGGUUUCAUACCAGUUCAA